GACGAACGCUGGCGGCGUGCUUAACACAUGCAAGUCGAACGGAAAGGCCCUGCUUUUGUGGGGUGCUCGAGUGGCGAACGGGUGAUUAACACGUGAGUAACCUGCCCUUGACUUUGGGAUAACUUCAGGAAACUGGGGCUAAUACCGGAUAGUAGCUCCUGCUGCAUGGUGGGGGUUGGAAAGUUUCGGCGGUUGGGGAUGGACUCGCGGCUUAUCAGCUUGUUGGUGGGGUAGUGGCUUACCAAGGCUUUGACGGGUAGCCGGCCUGAGAGGGUGACCGGCCACAUUGGGACUGAGAUACGGCCCAGACUCCUACGGGAGGCAGCAGAGGGGAAUAGUGCACAAUGGGAGGAAGCCUGAUGCAGCAACGCCGCGUGCGGGAUGACGGCCUUCGGGUUGGAAACCGCUUUCGCCUGUGAGGAAGCGUGAGUGACGGUAAUGGGUAAAGAAGCACCGGCUAACUACGUG
rnacentral:rRNA from 1 species